AAUAUAAGACCACCAAAUAUAAGUGCCCCGAAUAUAAGCCCAGUAGCCCACUACGUUAUUCAACAUUGACAUUGUCUUUUAAAGGGGCCCUACAGUCAUUUUUUAGUCGAAAAGCCACCUUAAGUAUUGUUUACAUUUUUUGUUAUUGUUACUACUUGACAUACGCAUCACAGCAUGCAUGCGCCUUUCAGUGUGGGGAAGUACUCAUACUCAUGGAUACUGCAUGUAGUCCCCUACUAAAGGUGGCUUUUCAACUAAAAAAUGACUGUAGGGCAGAGAACGAUAUUUAAAAACAUGGUCAUUGUCUUUAUAGCCAACUGUGUUAAUCAAAGCACCUUAUUAAUACAUGUUUAUUUUUCUGUUUAUGACUGACUUGUUUAUGGCUGACUUGUUUAAUACUAACACAAAAGAUCGUCCAUGUAUUAGCCCCCGUAUAUAAUCCCCCCCCCCUCUCCCCCCUUGUAUAAACCCGUCAAAAAUUGCUUACAAAAGUAUAUAAGCCCAGGGCUUAUAGUCAGAUGUUUACGGUAUUUGGCUAGGUGAUUGGCAGCUGACGGGUUAUUACCCAUUCUAAUAACAGGUUUAACUACUGACAUGUAAUUUUAACAGAUUGUUUGGCCAAGUAAAACAGUGAAUGCAAUGUUUUAAAGUUAAUAUCUCGUUUAUUUCAAAUGUCAAUUUUAAAAACUCAAACCGUGUGGACAAACCAAAUAUUGUAAACAAACCAAAUACCGUAAACCUCCAAUUAUAAGCCCUGGACUUAUAUAAGUUAGUAAGC